AAUGCAUUGAAAGGUGCAAAUGCAUCACUACCAGAUGGACCUGCGUUGUAUUAGCUAGUUGGUGGGGUAACGGCUCACCAAGGCGACGAUACAUAGCCGACCUGAGAGGGUGAUCGGCCACACUGGGACUGAGACACGGCCCAGACUCCUACGGGAGGCAGCAGUAGGGAAUCUUCGGCAAUGGACGGAAGUCUGACCGAGCAACGCCGCGUGAGUGAAGAAGGUUUUCGGAUCGUAAAGCUCUGUUGUAAGAGAAGAACGAGUGUGAGAGUGGAAAGUUCACACUGUGACGGUAUCUUACCAGAAAGGGACGGCUAACUACGUGCCAGCAGCCGCGGUAAUACGUAGGUCCCGAGCGUUGUCCGGAUUUAUUGGGCGUAAAGCGAGCGCAGGCGGUUAGAUAAGUCUGAAGUUAAAGGCUGUGGCUUAACCAUAGUACGCUUUGGAAACUGUUUAACUUGAGUGCAAGAGGGGAGAGUGGAAUUCCAUGUGUAGCGGUGAAAUGCGUAGAUAUAUGGAGGAACACCGGUGGCGAAAGCGGCUCUCUGGCUUGUAACUGACGCUGAGGCUCGAAAGCGUGGGGAGCAACAGGAUUAGAUACCCUGGUAGUCCACGCCGUAAACGAUGAGUGCUAGGUGUUAGACCCUUUCCGGGGUUUAGUGCCGCAGCUAACGCAUUAAGCACUCCGCCUGGGGAGUACGACCGCAAGGUUGAAACUCAAAGGAAUUGACGGGG
rnacentral:rRNA from 1 species